GAUGAACGCUGGCGGCGUGCCUAAUACAUGCAAGUCGAGCGAACGGACGAGAAGCUUGCUUCUCUGAUGUUAGCGGCGGACGGGUGAGUAACACGUGGAUAACCUACCUAUAAGACUGGGAUAAUUUCGGGAAACCGGAGCUAAUACCGGAUAAUAUUUUGAACCGCAUGGUUCAAAAGUGAAAGACGGUCUUGCUGUCACUUAUAGAUGGAUCCGCGCUGCAUUAGCUAGUUGGUAAGGUAACGGCUUACCAAGGCAACGAUGCAUAGCCGACCUGAGAGGGUGAUCAGCCACACUGGAACUGAGACACGGUCCAGACUCCUACGGGAGGCAGCAGUAGGGAAUCUUCCGCAAUGGGCGAAAGCCUGACGGAGCAACGCCGCGUGAGUGAUGAAGGUCUUCGGAUCGUAAAACUCUGUUAUUAGGGAAGAACAUAUGUGUAAGUAACUGUGCACAUCUUGACGGUACCUAAUCAGAAAGCCACGGCUAACUACGUG
rnacentral:rRNA from 1 species